UAUUUAACUCUUUUAAAGUUAAAAUAUUUCUUAUGGAUAUUAUUUUGUUUAAAUUUGAAUCUUUUAAUAGAAAAUAGUUAUAUAACGAAUAUUGUUUUUCUUGUACUGCGUAUAAUUGCACUCAAAGAUCAACUAAAGGAGUUUCUUUGCAUAAGUAAGUAGCUACAAAUCAUUCUUAACUAAACAUAUUUUAUUUAUUUAAAUGAUUUAAAAUUGAAAUUAAAAUCCUACCUUUUGUAUCAAAUAUGAAUUGUUAGUUCAUUAUUUUACUAUAACUAUUAACUACCUAUUUAUUAUUUGUAGUUUUUCCAAAGAUAUGAAAUCGAGAAGAAAACGGAUCCAAGUUAUGCGGAGGGAUGGUUUUACUCCUAGCAAACAGUAUAAACUUUCCAGUAAAUAUUUCACUAGUGACUGUUAUGAUCUAAGUUUUUGGAGUUCACAAAAAAAACUC
rnacentral:lncRNA from 1 species